rnacentral:piRNA from 1 species
CUUACUGUUGACGUGAUCCGCCUGAGAUCA